rnacentral:tRNA from 1 species
GGCUCGUUGGUCUAGAGGUUAUGAUUCUCGCUUUGGGUGCGAGAGGUCCCGGGUUUCGAACCCCGGACGAGCCC